UACGUAGGGUGCGAGCGUUGUCCGGAGUUAUUGGGCGUAAAGAGCUUGUAGGCGGUCUGUCGCGUCUGCUGUGAAAAUCCGGGGCUCAACCCCGGACUUGCAGUGGGUACGGGCAGACUAGAGUGUGGUAGGGGAGACUGGAAUUCCUGGUGUAGCGGUGAAAUGCGCAGAUAUCAGGAGGAACACCGAUGGCGAAGGCAGGUCUCUGGGCCACUACUGACGCUGAGAAGCGAAAGCAUGGGGAGCGAACAGG
rnacentral:rRNA from 1 species